rnacentral:misc_RNA from 1 species
AACGCACAUUGCGCCCCCUGGCAUUCCGGGGGGCAUGCCUGUUCGAGCGUCAUUACACCACUCAAGCCUGGCUUGGUAUUGGAGGUCGCGGUCCGCCGCGCCUCCUAAUGUCGCCGGCCGAGUCGUCUGUCUCCGAGCGUUGUGAAUCUUCAAUUCGCUUUCGAGUACAAGCGGCGCGCGCCGUUAAACCUCUUUUUCAGGUUGACCUCGGAUCAGGUAGGGAUACCCGCUGAACUUAA